AGAACGAACGCUGGCGGCAUGCCUAAUACAUGCAAGUCGAACGAAGGCUUCGGCCUUAGUGGCGCACGGGUGCGUAACGCGUGGGAAUCUGCCCCUUGGUUCGGAAUAACAGUUGGAAACGACUGCUAAUACCGGAUGAUGGCGAAAGUCCAAAGAUUUAUCGCCAAGGGAUGAGCCCGCGUAGGAUUAGCUAGUUGGUGAGGUAAAGGCUCACCAAGGCGACGAUCCUUAGCUGGUCUGAGAGGAUGAUCAGCCACACUGGGACUGAGACACGGCCCAGACUCCUACGGGAGCAGCAGUAGGGAAUAUUGGACAAUGGGCGAAAGCCUGAUCCAGCAAUGCCGCGUGAGUGAUGAA
rnacentral:rRNA from 1 species